GCUAGCGGGAGGCUUAAUACAUGCAAGUCGAGCGAGAAGCUCCCUUCGGGGAGUGGACAGCGGCGAACGGGUGAGUAACGCGUACACAAUCUACCUUUCAGUUUGGCAUAGCCCCGGGAAACUGGGAUUAAUACCGAAUGGCAUCGAGUUCCGGCAUCGGAUAUUCGAUUAAAGCUCCGGCGCUGAAAGAUGAGUGUGCGUACUAUUAGCUAGUUGGUAAGGUAAAGGCUUACCAAGGCUACGAUAGUUAGGGGGCGUGAGAGCGUGACCCCCCACACGGGUACUGAGACACGGACCCGACUCCUACGGGAGGCAGCAGUAAGGAAUAUUGGACAAUGGGCGCAAGCCUGAUCCAGCCAUCCCGCGUGGAGGAUGACUGCCCUACGGGUUGUAAACUCCUUUUAUUAGAGAAGAAACCCUGACUU
rnacentral:rRNA from 1 species